rnacentral:rRNA from 1 species
GACGAACGCUGGCGGCGUGCUUAACACAUGCAAGUCGAACGGAAAGACCCUGCUUUUGUGGGGUGCUCGAGUGGCGAACGGGUGAGUAACACGUGAGUAACCUGCCCUUUACUUUGGGAUAACUUCAGGAAACUGGGGCUAAUACCGGAUAGGAGCUCCUGCUGCAUGGUGGGGGUUGGAAAGUUUCGGCGGUUGGGGAUGGACUCGCGGCUUAUCAGCUUGUUGGUGGGGUAGUGGCUUACCAAGGCUUUGACGGGUAGCCGGCCUGAGAGGGUGACCGGCCACAUUGGGACUGAGAUACGGCCCAGACUCCUACGGGAGGCAGCAGUGGGGAAUAUUGCACAAUGGGCGGAAGCCUGAUGCAGCAACGCCGCGUGCGGGAUGACGGCCUUCGGGUUGUAAACCGCUUUCGGCUGGGACGAAGCGAGAGUGACGGUAAUGGGUGAAGAAGCGCCGGCUAACUACGUG